rnacentral:tRNA from 1 species
GUUUUUAUAGUUGAAUACAACAGUAGUUUUUCAGAUUACAGGUCUAGGUUAGAGCCCUAGUGGGAAUU